rnacentral:rRNA from 1 species
GGGAAUGGGUGGGCAGAUGUGGGGUUGAUGGGAAGGGGGGGAGGGUUGUUCGGAAUUACUGUGCGGGAAGGGGGCGGAGGCGGUCCUUCAAGGCAGAUGUGAAAGCACCGGGCUCAAACGUGGAACGGCAGUUGAGACGGGAGGACUUGAGGACGGGAGAGGAGAGUGGAAUGCCCAGUGUAGAGGUGAAAUUCGUAGAUAUUGGGAAGAACACCGAUGGCGAAGGCAGCUCUCUGGACCGUUACUGACGCUGAGGCGCGAGAGCGUGGGGAGCAAACAGGAUUAGAUACCCUUGUAGUC